rnacentral:rRNA from 1 species
UACGUAGGGGGCAAGCGUUGUCCGGAUUUAUUGGGCGUAAAGAGCGUGUAGGCGGCUAGGUAGGUCCGUUGUGAAAACUCGAGGCUCAACCUCGAGACGCCGGUGGAAACUGCAAAGCUAGAGUCCGGAAGAGGAGAGUGGAAUUCCUGGUGUAGCGGUGAAAUGCGCAGAUAUCAGGAAGAACACCCGUGGCGAAGGCGGCUCUCUGGGACGGUACUGACGCUGAGACGCGAAAGCGUGGGGAGCGAACAGG